AUCAAAAUGGGAAAUGGAUAUCCUGACCAUCAUAAAAUCAAUACCCACUUCGUGGAUUAGUUGAACUUGGAACACAGUAGUUAUGAUUAAACAUAUUGCAGCACAAACCUUCCAAAAUCACUGGUAGGUAAAACUGGUAGCAGUUAAAACAGAGUUGUGAGCAUUAAAUAAAAGUUACAUUCCAACCAUUGCCAAGCAUGUUGACACAGAGAAGGACAGGAAAAAUAAACAAAAGAUGGAGACUGCUCCUACAUCUUUAUCAGCUUGAAUUUUCUUCCUCACCACAUUAUUCCAUUGCAAGAUUUUCUCAUGUACAACUAAAAGUAUCUUGUUCUUAAUAUCUAAGCAACAAGGACCUCUCUCCUCUCUCUCAAACUCCUAUUGUUCUGUUUUCCAUUGAUUUUGGUGCCAUCCAUGGUUUUAUUAUAACAGACAAGACAUGAAAGAAGAAGACUUUGAGGAUGGAACCUUUGUUGGGGUCUAGAAAGGCUUAAACAAGAUGUAAUUCUUACUGAAAUACUAGCAACUAUCUCAACCUCUGCUGGACCACAUGACAGGGAUAUGUUAAGGAGAGCAAUAGUAAAGGAUGAUGGCAAAUUGGACUGUCCAUCAUGGUCUCCAAUGGAGCUGUCAUGGUGCUGUGAAAAGUUGGGUGCUCUGUGAAAAUAUGGAUAUUGUGGCACAGAUCUCAUAUUCAAGAGAAAAUGUCAAUGGACAGGUAUAUGGUAUUGUAUUUCUGAAAAGAAACAUAAAACUAAUAACAUACAUUCAAAAUUGCCCAAAGAACAGCUAAAAGAAUGUCAAUACAGAAUAAAGAAACAAUAAUAUCAAAGUGAGUCGAUAGAGUUACAAUCAAAUGGAUGUUGCAAUAGAAAAGAGGUGAAGGGGGUGAUAUGAUAAAAUGAAAGGGAAUUGAUGGUGUAUGUCAACAAAAAGUGGGGGAAUUUCUGUAGAAGAUUUCCGAAGUCUAACUCAGUGAGACGGGUCACUAGACUCACUAGACUAUCAGUAACCAUUGGCACUUGAAGUUUACUUCCUGGUGGUCCAGAUGUAUCAAAACUGAUUCAUAACAAAAUCUGGAGCUGAAUUGUAAUUGUUUAAAAAUUGACCGCAGAAUAGGAGCUUCGAUAACCUUCUGUACGUCCUCUGAAUCUCCGCACCAAAGAUGCAAAAGAA